rnacentral:lncRNA from 1 species
CAUCACCCCGGUGACUAGCUCUCUCUCUCCCCAUACCCCAAUCAAUUCCAUCGGUGGCUUUCUACCUUCUCUUUCUCUCUUUCUUGUACCAUUUGUAUCUACCUACCUGUCGCAUCUUCCAUCCCCGUCCAUAUAUCUCGGCACCUCCAGACCUAGAGCUCAAGAGCUCUCUCCUCCUCCACCAAGCUCCAGCACCCCUCAUAUGCACAUGCACGUAGCAACGACGACAUGUCCAUGUCAGAAUCAUUCGCCUGCAUGCAUGCAUAUGCAUGCGCAUCGUCGUCGACGUUGCUACUCCGAUAUACACCUUCCCUUUACAUGUCCAGCUAGCGGCUGCAUCCGUUUCUUGAUUCGUUGCUGUGUUAAUUACAGUGUUACAGUAAAAAAAUGGUGGUCUGGUUAUUUAUUGAUUUGUCGUGGUGAUUAAUAAGAACCCUUCUUGCCGGAGGGCUUCACUGAGAGGUUAAUCACUACUACAUCGGGGUGGUAAAAAACCCCGGUAAUAAGAUCGAUCCAGCUCGCGCGCGGUUAAAAUGAAGAGAAGAGCGUGUGCUUGUUACUUUCGUCAAUUUGGUGCAUACGGCUACUGCCCCACAGUGUGGUACUGUACGUGCUGCAAUGGAACGGUGAAAAAUGAAAAAGGAUCGACGGUACUGGCCUGCAGGCCAUGAGGAAGAAGGUGCUGGAGCAUAUGCGGAUUUUUUUUCCUUUUUAUCUUCUAUAUAUUUUUUCUUUCGAAAUUACCCAAAUUGUCCAUUAUGUAUUACCGAGCUUUUCUUCUUCUUACCAACUGUUUUUACUGAACUAUUACAGUGUAUACUUGUGACAUACUAUAUCCUAUAUUCUUGCUGUGCUUGCACCAGCAUUCUUCUGAGUAUAUAUGAACUCCAUCACUGCAUGCCUACUGUGUUUUCUGUAUUUUAAUGGCUAGAGGCAGAUGCAGGAUAAAGUUACAUGUUCACCUCUGAUUAUACUCUAGAUCUGAUGCCUAAAUUAUUGUAAGCUUAUUCUGGUUUUAGAUCCCAUAAGGAUCUCUCUUCCAAAUAUUAUUACUACAAUGCCAUGGUUAGUACGAACCCUUGGGGUGUAGUAUAGUCCUCACAUGCAUGCCAACCUACAUUACCAUGCUAUAUGAAAUGUAAUAGCAAGAGGAGGCACACAAAUAGUUUUUCUACAACUACAAAUAUGUACCGUAAGCGAGCUAGAAACGAUUGUGAUAUUACAAUCACCUAAUAACAAGGUACAUGAGCGGUCUUGCGCUAAUAAUCAACACCUAAGUAUAACUCCGUUGUUAUUCUACAAUCUAUGGAAUAGAUGAGCGGCCUUGUGCUCCUAUCACAUUUAUGGAUUCCGGUAUUAGAAUAUGAAAUUAAUAAUUCUACUCAAACCAUCAAUGGUGUGAAAAGAAGGAUUCAAUGAUUUGUUUGACCUAAUUCAAUACAUUGCAAAACGCACCAGUUUAGGGGGUCGAGGGAAAGAGAGAACGGACAUCAUAGUCCAAUGCCAAGUCACAAAUUAUGCUACAAGGCACAAAGAAGUUGUUCAGUAGCAAGAUAUAUAAAAGAACAAUAUGUGGCAAAAAGGCGUUGAGUCUGCUGCGGCCACCAAGACAAUUGAGGCCAGGGCCACUACCACCCCUAGGAGAAGCUACCCAUGCCAUCGAUGGUAGCAUUCUUACUCGAUCAUUGGUAGGUGUUGAAAUAUGUAUGAAAUAUGUGUGUGUAUGUGUCUAGCCUAUCAGCUUAUGUCUAGUCACUUGUAUAUAAACGUCCCAAGCUACAAGUGUUUGAAUCAAACACCUAACCCUUAACUAAUUACAUGUCCGGUUGUUGCUCGACACGUACACACGCGUAUUCGACCCAUAUAACAACUUUGCAAAUAUUACCUCGCCGUCUUGAAGCCGCCAUCCAUGAACCUUCGUGUGUACAUUGAACUUGAACUAUUAAUCUUGAGCUCCACUGCUAUUUUCUUGACAACCGUUGCAACUGGAGUCAUGUGAUCCAGUAGGUUAGACACAAACCAUCAAGCGAUUGUGCGAUGUUGAUUUAGUACUACAUGCGGAGGAGCGUCCAUUUCAUCCCUUGGGGAGUAGGUAAGAUUGCCAACCCUCAUUAACAAAUACCGAUGUAGUGCUGUGAUUACCUGUCCUAAGAUAAUUGACCACACAUCGGAUUUCUAACAGUGGGUUUGUCACAAGUAUGUGUAUGGUCUUCUAGGAGCCGGGAAUGGAAUUCUUUGCUAUAUUGAAAAGUCCAUCCCUUUUUGUGUCAUUGUCGACCGCUGUAAACUCAAUUCUCCCUCCUGCGGGACUUAGCAUCGCAGCCAAAGUUGUUAAAAUCCGAGGUUUUGAAGCUGACUCUUUGGCAAUAUCACAAAUCAUAGGAAUACAAUUGUUAGGAUUGUAAAAUGAUAAAUUCUACUUGUUAGAAUCGUAGAACAAAGCUAUACAAAAUCAUAGCACUAGUCAAAUUAAUUUGGAUCUUGUAGAAUCACACAAUAGAAUCAAGAUGCACGCAACCUUGAUUGUUGGUUCGGCUUGCCCACUCUAAGAAGCAUGUACGGAUUUUGAGGAGAAAGACAAAGGAUUGGAGGCGAGGUUGGGUUUUUUGUGUGGAAAAGGAGGUGACCUCCUACAUCUGCAUCACUGGGAUGCACACACAACCAACUUUAUUAUGUAUCAACCAUUUGUCAUAAAAAAAUAGAAAACGGAAAAAAGACCAUGCACGACCGGUCGAUAACAACAAUACAUGACUACAGACAUAACCUAGAUAUUUGAAGGCUACGAGGGUAAAAGUCUUUGUUUGAAGAGUUUUUCGUUGGGCCAAAAGGAUUGUCACCAAUGGAGUGAUAUAAUUUUUUUAUUACACCCAUGAGUACCAUCUUUAAUUGUCGGGAGGGAGUUAUGAACUCAGCAAAAAUGCCGCCUAUUCGAAAUAUGUUUUUGCUUCAAAAUGAUUUUGUAUUCGGAUUAGGGAUGUCUUUGACCAAUUCUAACAUUGCGGAGGAAACACAUUCUAGAGAAGAAUCCUCACCAAAUCACACACUUGAUACACUCCGGGUGGCGCUUCAAAAUUGUACCUGGGCGUACGUGGUGGAGAUGAGAUGCCCUAUUUUUGGCUGACUCGGAGUUAGCGCCAGGGUGUCGAUAGAAUACUGAUCCAUUUGGCAAGCAUACAAAAUUGGUUUGGGGUCAGGGCUGGCAGCGGCGGCAGCAGCUGGGGAUCCGUAUAGAAACGGUUGAAGCGCGUGGGGUGGCGUGCCCUGCCAUAAAAAGUUAGAAAGAUAGGGGCGCUGUGGGAUUGAUGCCUCCUGUUUAAUUGUUGGGAGAAGGUGGAGGUUGCAGCUGCGGGCGCUCGCUCACCACGGGCGCACCGCACAUGCAUCCCUUUUCUACUGCUAGUACUGCCUUUUAAAAUUACUGUAUUAUUUACUUCGUUAUAUUUUUCUAAACAACGUGAGAAUUCUUAGUUUAUGUUUUGACUACUGGGAAGAAACGAGUUGGACUCGGUUUGGAAAACAUCUCUCUUUCCUUGGCUUGGGCAAUUGGCAUGAGAAGGGAGGGCCGGCUCUACUUUGUUCUGGCUGCAUGCAGGCUGAAUGAUGCACAUGGGAAGGUCGGGAAAAAAAAGGGGGUGUGAAAUUAGGGCUCUGGCAUGCACAGAGGAGCCCACGCUGCAAUCUUGUACCCUUUUGUUUUGCGCCCUUUUCUUCUUUUCACCACUGGCAUUUACUCGGCAUCUUUUACCUUGUCAUAAAAAAAGAGAGUAAGAACUCAUGCAUCAGUGAGCAGCUAGAGAGGACCAAUUAAAUUGCAUGCCAACAAAUGUUGUUUGUUCAUGAGGUUUACCUUUUCUACAAACAGUUUGAGUAGUAGUAGUAACACACAUCCAUCAAUGCACAUAGUUUUACAGCGGUAAGAAAAGGCUAGCCGAUCCAACGUUAAAGGCACUGCACGGAGGCAUUCAAAGUCCAGUAAAAACACAAUUUCUUACUACCUGCUUUGGUAAGUAAUUAUCCGCAGCACGCCAGUACGCACACACUGAGAAGUUUUUUUUGGAAGGGUGCACACACAGACUAAGCAGUUGUGCAUGACAAAGGCAAGCUCGUCAGAAAAAAAAAGUCCCUCGCAUGCAGCUGUAGAUGCAGAGCGGCCGGCUGCAGAAGAUUCUUUUGGUGUGUGAGAGUAGAGUAGGUUUUUAGUAGUACUACAAAAUUCUGUCGCGGUAAAUGAUGCGUCAUGUACAGGGUAAAAGGGUAAAAAAAGAGAAAGAUGGAAGAAAGGCACAGUGCAUGAAUUCUCAUGCUCGGCAGCAUGUGCGGUGACUCCGCGCUUCACGAGACGCUGUUACCUGAGAGUGGGACAGUACUGAAAAACCUCAAGAAACUUCGCUAGGUCAACACCCCGGUGCUACACAGGAUAUUUUAUUUCACCUUUUUUUCUUCCUAAAAUGAAUGUAAACAAGUUUUGGGAUUUCAUUUCAACCCAUAAAUAAAAAGAAAGAAAGGAUGAUAAUGAGAUGCUAUGGCGUGUUUUUUUAGGACGCCGAUAAGUGCCACACGUGUGGGCGUUAGGGAGUCCGCCCACACAUUUUGUGUGGUGUAUAAGAGGAACAGGCCACACACCUACGUGUGGGCAAAACAAUUAGCGCCCACACGCUUUUUUUCCCCUCCCGAUCCCUCUCACACGUGUGCGUGUGGGCGAAGUUGAUAACGCCCACACGUCCAUAUGUCAGGCCUCGUACCUCCUGGUCCCGCACGCCACGCGUGACGGUCACCGCGCGCCCGCAGUUGCCAUGGUCCAGACCCUCGUCCAUGUUCGUUUAAUUGCAGUUGCCAUGUCGCUGAAUUACGGUUGCCAUGUCGGACAACUUCAGUUGCCAUGGUUGCUCAACUGCAGUUGCCAUGUAUGGUCUGAUCUAAUGUAGUUGCCAUGAUUUCAUAACUUUAGGAGUUGCCACAUACUAACACUAGGCAGUUGAGAGAGUUGCCAUGUGCUCACAAGCAUGCUAGGGCAGUUGCCAUGUAAAAAGGAAGAGUUGCCAUCUGCUUGCGUGCAUGUUAGGGCAGUUGCCAUGUACAUGCACGUUAGGACAGUUGCCAUGUAUCAUGCAAAAACAUAUGGCAACUCGGUAAAAGAGAGUUGCCAUCUGCUUACGUGCACACUAGAAAGUUGCCGUGUACCCUGCAAAACACAUGGCAAACUCGGGUAAAAAAAGAGAGUUGCCACCUGCUUAUAAAAGCACACUAGGGGCAGUUGCCAUGUGCAGUGCAAAAACACAUGGCAACUAGCAGCUUGGGUGUGGGAGAGGAGAAGGGCGUGUCGGCAAGAUGCCAAAUGCCCACACACUAGCCCUUGUGUGUGCGUGCAAAGUGGCGUGUGGGCGAACUGCUGAACGCCCACACACCAACCCCUCCUGUGUGGUGAAAUGGCCGUGUGGGCGACCGGCUGAACGCCCACACACCAGGCCAGUCCUACGUGGUACUAAAACAUGCUAAGAUUCGUGCGCUCACGAACGGACGCGGAUCCACGCGUGUGGGCGAGAUGCAAACGCCCACACGUAUGGACGUUAACAUUUCUGUUUUUUUAACACAGUACAUAGGCAAGCGCUCGUACAUACGCGAAUAUACUCACACCCUACUGCUAUGAGCACCUUCGAGAGAUUGAGCCGGCAUAUCAUCUUGAGAUUUAUAAAGUUACCGUAGACGCCUCGUCAUUGACGAAAUGUCUCCUUGCAUUGAAAGUGCAUCGCCGAAAAUCCUAAAAUAAAUCUACGAAUAAUGCAAGCUUCAGGACUUGAACCCUGAUGUGCUGGGAUAUCAUUGUCCCUCUAAUCAUCCAAUCAGAGAUUGGUUCAUGAUGCCAUGGCAUGUUAAUAUGUACUCCCUCCAUCCUAAAAUAAGUAUUUAACUUUGUACUAACUUUCGUAUUAAGUUGUAUUAAGAUUAACACAUUUAUUUUCGGAUGGAGGGAGUAGUACAGUAGAAGACACAUCAACAACUAGAAGAAUUUGUUUUUUUUCUACAACCAGUGUUUACCUCCGAUAGUAUAAUUCAAAAGCUAGCACAAGCAUUUUGCCAGAUAAGUUAUGCACCAGGAGGAGUGUCACAAGUGCAGUCGCCCGGUUAAUGGAUUAUUAGCAGUUACCUGGUGCAGCAAGCAUCAUCACAUGCGUCGCCCAUAUAUAUGCAUGCAACACUUCAUGUCACCCUGCAGUGCAUUAUCUGUCUGCUUGCCCAUUUCUGUUAGUGUGAUGGUUAGGUACAUGAUGGAGAGCAUCGGGCCACUACGUCAGCAGGCGGGAAAAGUAACGACUCUCAGUGUCCAGCAUGUACGGACGAUUGUCGUUCGCGCUCAGGCGCAUGUCUCAAGAUACUGGUAACUCGUGGAUCCACUCGCACCACGGAGUUGCACUAUUCCACAAACCAGAGUUUUUUCUCUCUCUUUUUUAACCGACGAUAUACCAUACACGCCCUCGCCGUCGUUGUUUGAAAUUCACGUCAUGUUUUCUAGUUCAGCAUCAUUUGUCUUAUUUCAAUGAAUUAUAUAGUUUGUCCCCACAAAAAUGUUUUGUUUUUUCCUCUUGUUUUAAACUGUCGAAUUUAUGCCCAUGAACCAAAUAGUCCAUGUACAAAUCUUUUUUUUGACCAUGUAUAUAAAUCUUAUAAAUUUAUUGUUAUGAUUGGCGUCACUUAUAGCCGGAGGAGGCCCAUUAGGCGCGUCUAGUUAGGGGCUUAGCCCAACUUAUUUUAUUUUUAUUAACAAGCGAGGAUUAUAUAAACAUAUGUAAGGAUACCUGCCUUCUAUAAAGCUAAGAUACGCGAUUGCGCACUUAAAAAAAAAACCUUUUGGAAUUAAGCAAUAAGUCAUUACUAUUGCCCGGCUCCCCUUAGGAGGCAGAACCCUAAACCCUAGCCGCCUCUCCCUCUCAGCCGCCGCCUCCUCCCGCACGACUAUGGUGCCGGCGCAUCGCCGGCGCGCCCUCCUCCUCGACAACCAGCCUCUCACCCCUACAACCUACAGUCCAGGCCAGGUAGGACCCUAGCUCCUACCAGUUUGGUAUCAGCUAGCUUCGAUUCGAUCAUGUCUACACCGCAGCCCACCCCGUCUCUCCUGCUGCCGGUCACCUCGUUGCCUGCGGCGACGACCACUGUCGUCACCCCGCUCCUGCCCGCGCCGGGGUCCUCUGCCGCGCCCGCCACCAUCGUCCUCACCCCGGAGGAGGUGUCCGGGGCGCUGCGAGACCUAACCCAGGCGGUCUAGGGGAUCCGCCUGUUCCUGGUCGGGUCCUACAGGCCACACCCGGCUGCGCCGCCCAUCGCCGCCAAUGCGACGCUGUGGCCGCCGUGGAAGCCGCCGCCCCUGGCGUCCUCUGCCACGUCCGAGGGACCGCUGCAGCAGCUGCCGCCGCCGUCGCCCGUCAACUUCGGGCUGGCCCUGUCCGCGCCGGCGGGGGUCCCGAUCAACCAGGUCCGGUUCCCGCCCUUGCUGUCACCGCACCGGCCUGGUUGGUCGGGUCGUCGCAGCCGGUCUACAUGAUGGCUUCAGGGCCGUCGCACGUCCAGUUGCCGCCGACACCAACCCUGCAGUACGGCGGGUCCUCCAGCUCUGUCGGUCCUUAUGCUGGCCUCGACGGGCCGCCGUUCCAUGCCCCCCCAUGACCACCGACCCGGCGCCGGCCCCCUCGCUGCUCCGCGCUGAUGAGACGUGAAGGAAAUAUGCCCUAGAGGCAAUAAUAAAGUUAUUAUUUAUUUCCUUAUAUCAUGAUAAAUGUUUAUUAUUCAUGCUAGAAUUGUAUUAACCGGAAACUUAAUACAUGUGUGAAUACAUAGACAAACAUAGUGUCCCUAGUAUGCCUCUACUUGACUAGCUCGUUAAUCAAAGAUGGUUAAGUUUCCUAGCCAUGGGCAUGUGUUAUCAUUUGAUGAACGGGAUCACAUCAUUAGAGAAUGAUGUGAUGGACUAGACCCAUCCGCUAGCUUAGCACUAUGAUCGUUUAGUUUAUUGCUAUUGCUUUCUUCAUGACUUAUACAUGUUCCUAUGACUAUGAGAUUAUGCAACUCCCGAAUACCGGAGGAAGACUUAGUGUGCUAUCAAACGUCACAACGUAACUGGGUGAUUAUAAAGAUGCUCUACAGGUAUCUCCAAUGGUGUUUGUUGAGUUGGCAUAGAUCGAGAUUAGGAUUUGUCACUCCAAUUGUUAGAGAUGUAUCUAGGGCCCUCUCGGUAAUGCACGUCACUAUAAGCCUUGCAAGCAAUGUGACUAAUGAGUUAGUCAUGGGAUGAUGCAUUAUAGAACGAGUAAAGAGACUUGCCAGUAACGAGAUUAAACUAGGUAUGAGGAUACCGACGAUCGAAUCUUGGGCAAGUAACAUACCGAUGACAAAGGGAGCAACAUAUGUUGUUAUGCGGUUUGACCAAUAAAGAUCUUCGUAGAAUAUGUAGGAGCCAAUAUGAGCAUCUAGGUUGCGCUAUUGGUUAUUGAUCGGAGAUGUGUCUCGACCAUGUCUACAUAGUUCUCGAACCCAUAGGGUCCGCACGCGUAACGUUCGAUGACGAUUGGUAUUAUGAGUUAUGUGAUUUGAUGUAGCGAAGGUUAUUCGGAGUCCUGGAUGAGAUCACAGAUAGGACGAGGAGUCUCGAAAUGGUUGACGUGUAAAGAUCGAUAUAUUGAAAGGCUAUAUUCGGACAUCGGGAGGUUCCGAGUGAUUCAGGUAUUUUUCGGAGUACCGGGGAGUUACGGGAAUUCACCGGAAGAAGUAAUGGGCCUUAUUGGGCUUUAGUGGAGAGAGGCGAGAAGGGCCAAGAGGUGGCGAGCGCCUCCCCAGUGCCCAAACCGAAUUGGACAAGGGGUGGGGGCGCGGCCCCCCUUUCCUUCUCCCUUUCCCUCUUUGUCCUUCUCUCCUACUCCGAAUAGGAAAGGGGAGGGGAAUCCUACUUGGACUAGGGAGUCCUAGUAGGAUUCCCCACACCUGGCGCGCCCCCUUAGGUCCGGCCACCUCUUCCCCCCUCCUUUAUAUACGUGGCCAGGGGGCACCCCAUAGACACACAAGAUUUGUCUUAGCCGUGUGCGGUGCCCCCCUCCACAGUUACACACCUUGGUCAUAUCAUCGUAGUGCUUAGGCGAAGCCCUGCGUCGGUAACUUCAUCAUCACCGUCGCCAUGCCAUUGUGCCGACGGAACUCUCCUUCGGCCUCAACUAGAUGAAGACCCCGAGGGACGUCAUCGAGCUGAAUGUGUGUUGAACGCGGAGGUGCUGUAUGUUCGGUACUUGGAUCGGUUGGAUCGCAAAGACGUUCGACUACAUCAACUGCGUUACUAAAUGCUUCCGCUUUCAGUCUACGAGGGUACAUAGACAUACUCUUCCCUUCUUGUUGCUAUGCAUCUCCUAGAUAGAUCUUGCGUGAUCGUAGGAAUUUUUUUGAAAUACCGCGUUCCUCAACAGUGGCAUCAGAGCCAGGUCUAUGCGUAGAUGUCAUAUGCACGAGUAGAACACAAAGGAGUUGUGGGCAUGGGUAUAUACAUAUUGCUUGCUGUCACUAGUUGAUUCUUGAUUUAACGAUAUGGUUGGAUGAAGUGGCUUAGACCGACAUUACGCAUAUGCUUACACGAGACUGGUUCUACCGACGUGCUUCGCACACAAGUGGAUGGUGGGUGUCAGUUUCUCCAACUUUAGUUGAAUCGGAUUCAAUGAACAUGGUUCUUUCUGAAGAUCAAAAAGCAAUCACUAUACCACAUUGUGGUUUUUGAUGCGUAGGUAAGGACGGUUCUUGCUCAGCCCGUAGUAGCCACGUAAAACUUGCAACAACAAAGUAGAGGACGUCUAACUUGUUUUUGCAGGGCAUGUUGUGAUGUGAUAUGGUCAAGACGUGAUGAGAUAUAAAUUGUUGUAUGAGAUGAUCAUGUUUUGUUAAAGUUAUCGGCAACUGGCAGGAGCCUUAUGGUUGUCUCUUUAUUGCAUAAGAUGCAAGCGCCAUAUAAUUGCUUUACUUUAUCGCUAUGUGAUAGCAAUAGUUGCAAAAGCUAUAGUUGGCGAGACGACCAUGUGAAGACAUGUUGAUAAAGAUCAAGAUGAUGGAGAUCAUGGUUGUAAGGGCAUAUUUAUCCCUAAGUGUUUUGGUGAUUGAUGACAACGCAUUUGCGGCUAAUCGUGUGCCAUGAGUAUUCGAGACACUUCAUUGCUAGGCACAAGACGGUUGGGUGCCCCUCGAAGACUGAUGAAGACGACAUCUUUUCUAUGUUUCUUUUUGGUGGAUUUGAGUUGUAGGAAAGCCGUACUAUUAAGAGGGGGUCCGCGUUGGAAAGGUUUGGGUGGAAUCAUCAGAUACACGUCUCCUUCUUGUCCCCUCCUUUUUCCUUGGAGCUUCCUCUGUUUUCUUGCCUCCCUUGUCUGGCUGCUGUUGUUGGUUGCGGUAGUACUGCUCCCAGGACAACGGUAGUACCGUAGGCAUUCGCGGUAGUACCGCGCGGUGGCGCGGUAGUACCGCAGGUGCCCACGGUAGUACCACUUUCGCCGAGUGAUAGUACCGCGCUAUGCAGUCAGGCAGUAGUACCGCCCCUCGGCAGUACUACUGUGUCGGGUUUUUUCUACUUUCGUUUCUUUGCGGAAGUAGGCACGGAAGUUUCCCUUCCCCCCUGGCUGGGAUUUUUGCCUCGCGGUAGUACCGCAUGGGGGGCGCGGUAGUACCACGCGUGCGGAAGUACCGCCCCCAGCUCCUGCGCGUCUGUUUAUCUUUUCUGUUGCUAGGGUUGCGGCAGUACCGUGGGUCGGUACGGUAGUACCGCACAGCCGUGCGGUAGUACCGCUUGGUUGCAAGUAGUAGUACCGCGCGGCCUUGCGAUAGUACCGCUGGCCAGGCGCGGUAGUACCGCUGGCCGCGGGCUGGUUGGUGGGUAACGGUUGGAUCCUGUUCCCACACUAUAUAAGGGGUCCCCUUCUUCCCCGUUGACUUACCUCUUCCACCCCUAAGCUCCAUUAUUGCUCCAAGCUCCAUUUUCGCCCGAUCUCACUCCCUAGCCGACCAAACUUGUUGAUUUGCUCGGGAGUGGUUGAGAAGGCCCCGAUCUACACUUCCACCAAGAGAUAUUUGAUUCCCCCCACUAAUCCCUUGCGGAUCUUGUUACUCUUGGGUGUUUGAGCAUCCUAGACGGUUGAGGUCACCGCGAAGCCAUAGUCCAUUAUGGUGAAGCUUCGUGGUGUCGUUGGGAGCCUCCAAUUGAGUUGUGGAGAUUGCCCAACCUAGUUUGUAAAGGUUCGGUCGCCGCCUCCAAGGGCACCAAUAGUGGAAUCACGGCAUCUCGCAUUGUGUGAGGGCGUGAGGAGAUUAUGGUGGCCCUAGUGGCUUCUUGGGGAGCAUUGUGCCUCCACACCGCUCCAACGAAGACGUACUUCCUCUCAAAGGGAAGGAACUUCGGCAACACAUCCUCGUCUCCACCGUCUCCACUUUUGGUUAUCUCGUGCCUUUACUUGUGCAAGCUUAUUUGUUUCAUAUAUCUUGCUUGCUUGUGUUCCUAUCCUUGUUGCAUCAUAUAGGUUGCUCACCUAGUUGCAUAUCUAGACAACCUACUUUGAUGCAAAGUUUAAAUUGCUAAAGAAAAGCUAAAAAUUGUUAGUUGCCUAUUCACCCCCUCUAUUCAACCAUAUCGAUCCUUUCAAUUGGUAUCAGAGCGUCUUCUCUUUAUUAAGGACUUUACCCUCCAAAGAGUACGGUUGAUACCGUAGACGGUGUGGAGGAACACUCCGGUGUGAAUCCGAUCUCGUCUACGGGCGAUGGGGGAACCUCGGUCUCUCGUGAGGAGUUCAAUGUGGCCUUGGAGACAUUGAAAACCUCCAUGACGACCAAAGUUGAAAGCAUGUUUACUAAAUUUCUUGAGGGGCUUAAACUAUCCACCGCACCGUUAAAAGUGGGUGACCCCGCCAACAAGGUGACGGAUGCUAUCCCCGAAAGGGGGGAAGCUAGUAGUGAAAAGGCUCCUUCUUCUAGUGGUAAGAAUGGCACCGACAUCUUUGCCCAUGUGGAACCACCACUUGUUUAUGGUGGACCGGUUCCUUCCACUCAUUUGAAACAUGCCGGUCCUCCCCCUAAGAUUGUGAAAAAUGAGGACUUUGAUUCUUGGGUUUACCGCUUUAAACGUCAUUUAAAUCAUGUGAACACUAACCUUUGGAGAAUCAUUGAAGAAGGUUUCUAUCCACAUGAUCCAAGCAACUCCACUCCUCGAGAAGCCGCGGACAAUCAAUUCAAUGAGAAUGCUCUCUUCAUCAUUCAAGAUGCAAUUCCACCCGAAGACCUACCUCAUAUUCGUCCCUUCGCCUUGGCCAAAGAUGCAUGGCAUUAUGUUGUCUCUCUCUACCGGGGAAGUGCAAGCAUUCAAUGCUCCAACUAUGAAGUGGUGCAAGAUGAGGCCGAUGAGUUUGCAAUGAAAGAAGAUGAAGAACCUCGUGAGCUUUAUCGGAGAGUAACCAAACUCGCGGUCUCACUACGAGAUCACGGGAGCAAGGACACGGAUGACAAUUGGACCAAGCACAAAUUCCUCAAGGCAAUGAUGCCCUAUCAUAAGGUCAUGUCCUCCAUCAUUCGUCAAAGACCGGACUUCCACACUUUGUCCUCAAGUGAAGUGUUGGAUGAGUUUGUGGCCAUGAAAAUUUUGGACAAGACCGCCGAUAAUGCGGUGCUUCGUUCUCAAAGGGCAAAGAAGCCUAACCUUGCGUUGAAGGCCAAGCUCACCAUUGAAGAAGAAGAAGAGGAAGAAGAGGAGAGCAACCCCGAAGAUACGAAGUAUGCAUAUCAUGAACACAUGGCACUUGCUUCAAGGCAAUUUUGGAGCAAGAAAAACUCGAGGCCAAACUUUAGCAAAAACAACUCAAGUGGCACGAAGAGCAAGCAAUGUGUUAGGACUUGCUACAAUUGUGGCAACGUGAGUCAUUUUGUUGCGGAAUGCCCAUAUGAGAAGAGGGAAGACAAUGGUGGCAAGCUCAUCCGAAAGGACAAGGCCAAGUCGUUCCCCAACAAGAGCAACUUCACCAAGAAGACUCCUCCCAAGGCAUUGGUGGUACAAGAGGAGUACAAUGAGGAUGAUGACGAUGAUGAAAGUGAUGAGUCGGUUUCCAUGGCCUCCAUUGCCAUUGCGACGACUCCAUGGGUGUCUCUCUUUGACUCACCCAAUGGGAGCAUCACCGCCAAGUGCCUCAUGGCUAAAGCCACCAACAAGGUAACCCCCAACAUCAAAACUACCAUCAUUAAUCAUCCUUCUCCGACGGAUAGCAUUAAUGAACUUGAGGAAGAUAAUGUGGAGGCUAAUGAGUUUGAGGCCUUUAUGGGCAAACUCAAGGGAAAAUCCAAGAAGCACUUUGUUGCUCUCUUGGAACAACUUGGUGAAGCCAAUGACAUGAUCGAGGCUCACGAAAACACCAUCACUAAGAUGGAAGGGCAUAGUCGUGACUAUGCCGAUGAGAUUUCGGAUCUUUCCAAUGCUCUUGAGGAAGAGUGUGGUCUUCGUUUGGCUCUUAAGGAGUCACACAACAUUGAUCAUGCUAAGUUAAAGAAAGAUUAUGAUCAUGUCCUCAUUGCUUCUCAUGUGCUAAACUCCGAGAAGGCCAAACUUGAGGUUGAUUUUGCUAGACUCAAAGAGGAGUUUGAUCUACUUGACAAGGCUCACAAGGUCUUGAAGGGUGCUCAUGCUAGCCUCGAAGAGUCGCAUGAUAAACUUCAAGUAAAGCUAACCAAGGAAAAGGCCACUUUGCCUCGUAUGAUGUUAAUUGAUAAUGCAAAUGCUACUAACCUGUGUUGUGAGCAUGUGCAUCUCGUUGAGGAGAACGCUAAGCUAAAGGGGCAACUUGAAAGAGGUCUUGCGACUUGCAUACAAGGCAAGAAGAACCUCAACGAUCUCUUGAUCAACCAAAAGGGAGUUGUGGCCAAGGAAGGGGUUGGGUAUGUGCCCGACUCCAAGAACAAGAAGAAGAAUGACAAGACCAAAAGACCUCCUCCUCUCAUGCAAACCUUUGUGAAGGAGGGAGAGAGUGCCUCUGAGGAGAAGAAGAAGAACAUUUCAAAGGGCGGCAAUGUCAAGAAGGGAAAUGCCACCCCUCCCAACAAAGCCGGCGAUUAUAAUCCUUCUUAUGUGUUAUGCCGUGCUAGUGAUGGGCAUGUUUAUGCCAAAUUUGUUGGUUCUCUUCAUGAGUACAUUGAAUGGUCUAUUUGGGUUCCAAAGACACUUGUUACUAACAUCAAAGGACCCAUUACAAAAUGGGCACCUAAAACCAAGCAUUGAUCUCUUCUAGGUGUUUGCUUCUGGUGGGGGAUCAUGGUUGCUCGAUAGCGGAGCUACAAAUCAUAUGACCGGAAGCAAGGACUUGGUGGUGGACGUGCACAAGGUCCCAUCUAUGCCCACCAAUGUCGAGUGGGGUGACACCUCAUCUUCUAAGGUAUUGGGACUUGGCAAGGUGGUCAUCUCUCAUGAUCUCACGAUCAAGAAGGUCAUGCUUGUUGAGUCCCUUGCAUACACUUUACUUUCUGUUCGUCAACUUGCAAUCAUGGGCUUUGCCACUUUCUUUGAUAUCGAUACCGUGGCCCUCUUGUGGAGCAAGACUCUUAAAGUAGCCUUUGUUCGGCAUGUCGAGAACGGUCUAUAUGUGAUUAACUUUUCGGAGCGACCCACUAAGACCGCGACGUGCCUAAUGGCUAAAGUUGAUGUGGGAUGGCUUUGGCAUCGCCGUUUAGCCCACGUCAAUAUGAGAUCUUUGCAAAGUCUCCUCAAGGGGGACCAUGUCCGUGGACUAACAAAUGUUAGUUUUGCUAAAGAUCGUGCUUGCAGUGCUUGUAUCGAAGGAAAGCUACAUGAGAAGGCUCACCCUCCCACGACUAUCAUUUAUUCAAAGAGGCCUUUGGAGCUCCUUCACAUGGAUCUCUUUGGGCCUCCAUCCUUCGAUAGUCUUGGAGGUAGGAAGUAUUGCUUGGUGAUUGUGGAUGAUUACUCAAGGUACACAUGGGUGUAUUUCUUCAAGAGGAAGAGCGAGACCCAACAAACCGUCAUCGACUUUGCAAAUGAAGCACAACGUCAGUAUAAUGCAAAGAUCUUGACAAUAAGAAGUGACAAUGGGACCAAGUUCAAGAACUACACCUUGGAUGAGUUUCUUAGUGAUGAGGGGAUCAAGCAUCAAUAUUCCGCACCUUACACCCCUCAACAAAACGGUGUUGCAGAGAGGAAGAACCGGACAUUGAUGGAUGCAGCAAGGACCAUGAUGGCGGAGUUCAAGUCUCCGUACAACUUUUGGGCCGAAGCCAUCAACACCGCGUGUCAUGCAUCCAAUCGGCUCUACCUCCGCAAGGGCUUGAACAAGACUCCAUAUGAGAUACUCGUCGGUAACAAGCGCAACCUCAAGUACUUCUGGGUGUUUGGGUGUAAGUGUUUUAUUCUCAAGAAAGGUGUUCGGUUGUCUAAAUUUGAGGCUAGAGCUUAUGAGGGCAUAUUUGUUAGUUAUGCUACAAACUCUCAUGCUUACCGUGUACUCAAUAAAUCCACGGGACUUAUUGAGGAGACGUGUAACAUGGAGUUUGAUGAGAAUAACGGCUCCCAAGUGGAGCAAAGUGGCACUUGUGAUGUAGAUGAUGAAAUUCCUCCCCAAGCCAUAAGAAGAAUGGGUGUUGGCUUUAUCCUACCCAUUGAGGAACCCCUUGUGGCCGAAGGAGAAGGACAAAGCUCCACUCAAGCAGAGCCAUCACCAAACCAAGGCCCACACGCUUCCGAAGAACAACAUGAAGGCCCUCAUCCUCAAGAACAUGACCAAGGGCAAGAUCACGCUCAAGACGGUGUUGACACAUCUAGUGAUGCCCAAGAUCAAGUUCUCUCCUCCGAGCAAGUUCAAGAACAAGAAGAAGCUCAAGACGACGCUCAAGAUGAUCAAGUGACCACUCCUCAUCUCACCCCCGAGGAGGAAUUAGAGCGUCGUGCCGCCAAGGUUGCUUCCAAGCUCUCCACCAAGGAUCAUCUCAUGACAAAUGUGCUUGGAAGCUUACGAAAGGGGGUAAGCACUCGUAGACAAUUAGCAAAUUAUUGUGAGCAUCAUGCGUUUGUCUCUUGUGUGGAACCCCACAAGGUCUAUGAGGCGCUAGAAGAUCCGUAUUGGCUCAAUGCCAUGCAUGAAGAACUCAACAACUUUGAGCGCAACAAAGUGUGGAGAUUGGUGCCAAGACCGACGGGGAACCACAAUGUCAUCGGAACUAAGUGGAUAUUUAAAAACAAGCAAGAUGCCCAUGGGAUUAUCAUUCGCAACAAGGCUCGUUUACUAGCACAAGGCUACUCCCAAGUCGAGGGUAUCGACUACGGUGAAACCUUUGCUCCCGUUGCUCGUCUUGAAUCUAUUCGCAUGUUGAUUGCCUAUGCUUCUCAUCAUAACUUUAAGUUACAACAAAUGGAUGUGAAGAGUGCUUUUCUUAAUGGUCCCAUUAAUGAAUUGGUGUAUGUCAAGCAACCCCCCGGGUUCGAGGAUCCCUACUUUCCCGAUCAUGUGUAUCAACUCGAUAAGGCACUCUAUGGCCUUAAACAAGCCCCACGUGCGUGGUAUGACCACCUUACCGAGUUGUUACAAGACCGUGGUUUCGAAGUUGGGCUAAUCGACCCCACUCUUUUUACUAAGAAGGUCAAAGGGGAGUUGUUUGUGUGCCAAUUAUAUGUUGAUGAUAUUAUCUUUGGUUCCCCUAACAAAGCUUUCAAUGAGGAAUUUGCCGCUCUCAUGACCUCAAAGUUCGAGAUGUCUUCCAUGGGAGAGUUGAAGUUCUUUCUAGGAUUCGAAGUGAAGCAAAGAAGAGAAGGAACCUUCAUCAAUCAAGCAAAAUAUACUCAAGACAUGCUCAAGAGAUUCAAGCUAAGUGAUGUCAAGCCGGCUUCCACUCCCAUGCCCACCAAGUGCCAACUUGACAUAGAUCCCAAUGGUAAAGCGGUGGAUCAAAAGGUAUAUCGCUCCAUGAUAGGUUCCUUGCUUUACCUUUGUGCAUCUAGACCGGAUAUCAUGUUGAGUGUGGGAAUUUGUGCACGUUUUCAAGCCGCACCUAAGGAAAGUCACUAUGUGGCGGUCAAACAAAUCUUUCGAUAUUUGGCUCAUACCCCAAAUUUUGGCCUAUGGUACCCAAGAGGAGCAAACUUCAAGCUUGUAGGGUAUUUGGAUUCCGAUUGGGCGGGAGACAAAGUGGAUAGGAAGUCCACUUCCGGAGGGUGCCAAUUUCUUGGUUGUUCUUUGGUAAGUUGGUCUUCCAAAAAGCAAAGUUGUGUGUCUCUCUCGUCCACCGAAGCGGAGUAUGUGGCGGUCGGUAGUUGUUGUGCACAACUCUUAUGGAUGAGGCAAACUUUAAAGGAUUAUGGUGUCAUUUGUGACAAAGUGCCUCUUUGGUGUGACAAUGAUAGUGCCAUCAAGAUCUCUCUCAACCCGGUGCAACACUUCAAGACGAAGCAUAUUGAGAUUCGGUAUCACUUCAUCCGGGAUCACAUUAGGCGAGGAGAGAUCGAGCUCAACUAUGUCAACACUCAUGAUAACCUUGCAGAUAUCUUCACAAAUCCCUUGGAUGAAGCAAGAUUUUGCGAGUUAAGGCAUGAGCUAAAUAUCAUUGAUUCGAGCAAUGUUGCUUGAACCCUUGCACACCCCACCAUACUCAACGUGUUGUCCUAUUUAGAUGUAGGCAUGGACAUAGGGGGAGUGAUGUUCUCUCAAUGAACUCUCCCUCCCCCCAUUAUGCAUAAAUCGAUCAAGUCUUUCACAUUAGCCAUGUUUGAUGGUACUUGUGUUUCAAAGACAAGUUUUGGUCAUGGACCCAAGGAUAAUUCUUCGUGGUGCCAUACCAAUUGACUCAAACAUAGGUGGCUACGGCCACCGCCCUCUCUUUGGAGAGGUGGUGUCUCGUGGUUGUUUCAUUUGUCGUGUGCCUUUCUGGCUUUGUGCGUUGCAUGGUCUUGUGGUGUCGUGUUGGCUCGGAGUGUUUGUGCAAAGAUCCAGUUUUUCGUGUGCUCGAAACAUGCAUCUUCUUAAGCUCACGGUACUACCGCGUCUGGCCGCGGUACUACCGCUUUGGGAGGCAUGGUACUACCGCACCACAACACGGUACUACCGCUCAGGUGCAGUACUUCGGAAGUACCGCGCCGGGCGGUACUACCACAUCGGGGCACAGUACUACCGCGCCGUCGAGGGAGCGUGGGGGUUAUGACUCGGGCAGGGGAGUUCCAACUCCCCAUACCCAUUCAUUUGUCUCUCUCCCCACGUCUCUCUCUCUCGCUCAAGAACGGCGCCGGAGGCCCUCGCCGGAUCUCCAUCUCCGACCACUCUCCUCGGAUUCCGGCCGGUGGGAUCGUUCCCCACCACUUCCUCUUGCCAUGGACCAAGGUUUUUCCCCAAAUCCCUCUUUUUCUUGGCUGUUCUCUUGCUUCUAGGUUUUUGGGGAGAAACUUGUUGUUCUUGAGAUUUUAGGCCAAAUCUAUGCAAGAGUAGGAUGUAGGAGAGUCGUGAUGCGUAGGAAUCAUACUUGAUAUGCUGUCUUGUGGUAGCUUUGUCCAACCGUAGUACCGCCGUGGUUUCACGGGCUUUUUUCAGAUUUGAACCUGUUCAGAUCUGGCGCGGUGCGGUACUACCGUGUCUGAUGUGCGGUACUACCGCUCUUGCGGUACUACCGCCCGUCAGGUGCAGUACUACCGUGCUAGCUCGUGUGGUACUACCGCUCUACAGACGCGGUACUACUGCGCUAGCCGAGGCGCUAAGGUCGUACUACCGCUCCUAGACCUGGUACUACCAUGACCUUGCAUGGUACUACCGUGCAUAAGAGCAGUACUACUAUCUUAGCUUUGCAGCACUUGGCAGUACUACCGUAGGGAUCAAAUCUCUCUCUAGGCAUUUAUCAUGUGUGCUUUCUGCUUGUUUCACUUGCUUUGUUGUGGUCUUUGCAUUAAUCCCUCUUGGCUGUUGUGGGUGUUUUGCAUUUUGUGUCUCAGGUGGUGGCUCUCGCCGUUCCAAUCCCAGUCGUGACACUGGCUCCAAGCGUCUGUGCAACCCCCAAGAUGAAGCCCCAGAGGGCUCCAAUGCCCCCAAGCGCAAUGUCAAGACCACUGCCAGCAAGCAAAAGGAACCUGCUAAGGGCAUGGACGAGAUUUCUAUCUCUGAGUAUGUCGAACGCCGGAGGGUCAAUCCCUAUGUGACUCCUCAGGCUGUGCUCAGAGGCACUGAGAUGUUCUGGAACAAGCAACAUGUUCUCAUCUAUCUGGAUGCGAUCAAGAGCAAGCAGAAUACCUUCAUGGAGGUCAAGUGGAUAGACAUGCAUCACAUGCGGAAGGACAAGUUUCGUGACUAUUUUGGAGAGGCUCUGGACUUGGUGGAGCAGUUUGCUAUUGAGCCGGUGAUCUCUUUUCACCAUGACUAUGACCCUGAGCUCAUCUGUCAGUUCUUUGCCUUAGUGUACUUUCAUCUCGGGGAGGUGCGGAGGAUGACCUGGAUGACCAAUGGCCGUCAGCUGUCUGCUACAUGGAAAGAGUUCAUGGAUCUGCUGCACAUUCCUGAUGACGGGCUUCACACCCCCGUCGGUGUUCGCCCCCAUGCCAACUCUGAGUCUGCCAACAAGAACCUGCUUCAGCCUUUCCUUGUUGAGAAGGUGCUCCCAAAUGGCAAGUCAACUUGGGUGUUAAACUCCUUUCUGGAUAUCAUGCAUUGCAUCUUCCGCAACACUCUGUUCCCACGCAUUGGCGACAAGGACAAGGUCCAUGCAUAUCUAGUCGACAUGUUGCUCCUGUGUGCAGAGGCACGUUCUUCUCAGACUCAGCCACUUGAUGUCUCACACAUCAUGUGGUGUGACCUUCGGUUUGCGGUGCUCACUCGCAAGGUACCUAUCUAUGGACCGUACCUAUUUCUGCUGCUCUCCACCACUUGGGAGAAGAUGUACCCGGGUGAUGAGUUCCUUGCUCCAGACUGGAUUCGCCAUGAGUCCAUCAGCCUCCGCGUCAAGCCCAACUGGGCCAACACCACUACCCUUGCUGACGCCUCUUCUGCUAGGAGGGCUGCUGGUGAGGAGGCGGCUGCUGCUGCUGAGAAUGUUGCUGAGGACCGUGCUGCUAGGUCCACCACUCCUUCCUCUGAGCCGUCAUGGGCCAAGAAGCUAAAGGACAAGAUGAAGACUCUCUUCUGCAUGCAGGCGAAGGGACAGUACAGGGCUCAUGUGGCAGACAAGGAGAGUCGCUGCCAUGACAAGAAGGUUAUGAGGCUCUUUAGAGAGGAUGUGUCUGGCGGGUCUGAGGAUGUCAUCACACCUGAGGCUGCCUGGAUGUCAAAGCAGGGAUACAAGUUGACCAGUUCAGAUGAUGACCUCGAGGAGACUAUCCCCGCCGCUGAGUCUAACGAGGAGCACGAGGAGCAGUGGGGCAACUUCUCUACCUGAGCCACCCCGUGUGUGUAGGUGUCCUCUCUGCCUUUUUGGCGUCUCGAUGCCAAAGGGGGAGAGAGUGUAGGGAUUUGCGUUGUGUCGUGCUUGGUGCAUUUGUUUGCUUUGUCUUUUGGACCUCGUUUGUGCUUGGUUGCUCUUGUUUGGUUUGUGCUUUCGAGACCUUUCCUACAUAUGGUGUAAGACAUAUGCACUUUAUCUAUCGUAGUUAACUUAUGUGUGUGCUAUCUUGUCUAGUGAUAGAUAUGCCUUGUCUCUAUAAUAUAGGGGGAGCUUUGAUCCUAGUAUUCGUGUGCCGUGCAGUCCAAAGCACUCAUCUAGGUGGCACACAUCUAGGGGGAGCCCGUCUAUAUUAUAGAGAGGAGGGGUUUGCAUUUACUUAAUAUUAUUUUCUUUGUGCAAAUCCCGUAGUGUCAUCAAUCCACCAAAAAGGGGGAGAUUGUAAGGGCAUAUUUAUCCCUAAGUGUUUUGGUGAUUGAUGACAACGCAUUUGCGGACUAAUCGUGUGCCAUGAGUAUUCCAGACACUUCAUUGCUAGGCACAAGACGGUUGGGUGCCCCUCGAAGACUGAUGAAGAUGACAUCUUUUCUACGUUUCUUUUUGGUGGAUUUGAGUCGUAGGGAAGCCGUACUAUUAAGAGGGGGUCCGCGUUGGAAAGGUUUGGGUGGAAUCAUCACGUACACGUCUCCUUCUUGUCCCCUCCUUUUUCCUUGGAGCUUCCUCUGUUUUCUUGCCUCCCUUGUCUGGCUGCUGUUGUUGGUUGCGGUAGUACUGCUCCCAGGACAACGGUAGUACCGUAGGCAUCCGCGGUAGUACCGCGCGGUGGCGCGGUAGUACCGCAGGUGCCCACGGUAGUACCGCUUUCGCCGAGCGGUAGUACCGCGCUAUGCAGUCAGGCAGUAGUACCUCCCCUCGGCAGUACUAGUGUGUCGGGUUUUUGCUACUUCCGUUUCUUUGCGGAAGUAGGCACGGAAGUUUCCCUUCCCCCCUGGCUGGGAUUUUUGCCUCGCGGUAGUACCGCAUGAGGGGCGCGGUAGUACCGCGCGUGCGGAAGUACCGCCCCUAGCUCCUGCGCAUCUGUUUAUCUUUUCUGUUGCUGGGGUUGCGGCAGUACCGUGGGUCAGUACUGUAGUACCGCACAGCCGUGCGGUAGUACCGCUUGGUUGCAAGCAGUAGUACCGCGCGGCCUUGCGGUAGUACCGCUUGCCAGGCGCGGUAGUACCGCUGGCCGCGGGCUGGUUGGUGGGUAACGGUUGGAUCCUUUUCCCACACUAUAUAAGGGGUCCCCUUCUUCCCCGUUGAAUUACCUCUUCCACCCCUAAGCUCCAUUAUUGCUCCAAGCUCCAUUUUCGCCCGAUCUCACUCCCUAGCCGACCAAACUUGUUGAUUUGCUCGGGAGUGGUUGAGAAGGCCCCGUUCUACACUUCCACCAAGAGAUAUUUGAUUCGCCCCACUAAUCCCUUGCGGAUCUUGUUACUCUUGGGUGUUUGAGCAUCCUAGACGGUUGAGGUCACCGCAAAGCCAUAGUCCAUUGUGGUGAAGCUUCAUGGUGUCGUUGGGAGCCUCCAAUUGAGUUGUGGAGAUUGCCCCAACCUAGUUUGUAAAGGUUCGAUCGCCGCCUCCAACGGCACCAUUAGUGGAAUCACGGCAUCUCGCAUUGUAUGAGGGCGUGAGGAGAUUACGGUGGCCCUAGUGGCUUCUUGGGGAGCAUUGUGCCUCCACACCGCUCCAACGGAGACGUACUUCCUCUCAAAGGGAAGGAACUUCAGCAACACAUCGUCAUCUCCACCGUCUCCACUCUUGGUUAUCUCGUGCCUUUACUUGUGCAAGCUUAUUUGUUUCAUAUAUCUUCCUUGCUUGUGUUCCUAUCCUUGUUGCAUCAUAUAGGUUGCUCACCUAGUUGCAUAUCUAGACAACCUACUUUGAUACAAAGUUUAAAUUGCUAAAGAAAAGCUAAAAAUUGUUAGUUGCCUAUUCACCCCCCUCUAGUCAACCAUAUCGAUCCUUUCAAUGGUUUCAUGCCGGUGACGAUGGAGAUCAUGAUGGUACUUUGGAGAUGGAGAUCAAAGGCACAAGAUGAUGAUGGCCAUAUCAUGUCACAUAUUUUGAUUGCAUGUGAUGUUUAUCCUUUAUGCAUCUUAUUUCUUAGUACGACGUUAGCAUUAUGAGAUGAUCCCUUGUUGGAAAUAUGCCCUAGAGGCAAUAAUAAAAUGGUUAUUAUUAUAUUUCCUUGUUCAUGAUAAUUGUCUAUUGUUCAUGCUAUAAUUGUGUUAUCCGGAAAUCGUAAUACAUGUGUGAAUACGUAGACCACAACAUGUCCCUAGUGAGCCUCUAGUUGACUAGCUCGUUGAUCAAUAGAUGGUUAUGGUUUCCUGACCAUGGAUGUUGGAUGUCGUUGAUAACGGGAUCACAUCAUUGGGAGAAUGAUGUGAUGGACAAGACCCAAUCCUAAGCAUAGCACAAGAUCGUGUAGUUCGUCUGCUAAAGCUUUUCUAAUGUCAAGUAUCAUUUCCUUAGACCAUGAGAUUGUGCAACUCCCGGAUACCGUAGGAAUGCUUUGGGUGUGCCAAACAUCACAACAUAACUGGGUGGCUAUAAAGGCACACUAAGGGUAUCUCCGAAAGUGUCUAUUGAGUUGGCACGAAUCGAGACUGGGAUUUGUCACUCCGUGUGACGGAGAGGUAUCUCUGGGCCCACUCAGUAAGACAUCAUCAAAAUGAUCUCAAUGUGAUCAAGAAGUUGAUCAUGGGAUGAUGUGUUAUGGAACGAGUAAAGAGACUUGCCGGUAACGAGAUUGAACAUGGUAUAGGGAUACCGACGAUCGAAUCUCGGGCAAGUAUCAUACCGGUAGACAAAGGGAAUUGUAUACAGGAUUGAUCGAAUCCCCGACAUCGUGGUUCAUCCGAUGAGAUCAUCGUGGAACAUGUGGGAGCCAAGAUGGGUAUCCAGAUCCCGCUAUUGGUUAUUGGCCAGAGAGAUGUCUCGGUCAUGUCUGCAUGAUUCCCGAACCCGUAGGGUCUACACACUUAAGGUUCGGUGACGCUAGAGUUGUUAUGGGAAAUAGUAUGCAGUUACCGAAUGUUGUUUGGAGUUUCGAAUGAGAUCCCAGACGUCACGAGGAGUUCCGGAAUGGUCCAGAGGUGAAGAUUUAUAUAUGGGAAGUCAUCAUACGAUCACCGGAAGUGUUCAGGGGUUUAUCAGUAUUAUACCGGGACCACCGAAGGGGUUCUGGGGGUCCACCGGGAGGGUCCACCUGCCCCGAAGGGCCCUAUGGGCUGUAUGUGGAAGGGAACUAGCCCCUAAGUGGGCUGGGCGCCACCCCCCUUACGGCCAAUGCGCCUAGGGUUUGGGGGGGGGGACCCUAAAGGGGGCGCCCCCUUGGCUUGGAGGGCAAGCCCCCUCCCCUUGGCCGGCGCCCCCCUCUAGAUCUCAUCUAGAGGGGCCGGCCCCCUCCCCCCUUCACCCUAUAAAUAGAGGGGUGGAGGGAGGGCAGCAACACCACUUCCAAGGCGCAGCCCUCCCUCUCCCAACACCUCCUCCUCCUCCGCUGAGCUUGGCGAAGCCCUGCUAGAGAACUGCGAGCUCGACCACCACGCCAUCGUGCUGCCAAAGUUCUUCCCCAACUUCUCCUUCCCUCUUGCUGGAUUAAGAAGGAGGAGAUGUCCCCGGGCUGUACGUGUGUUGAAUGUGGAGGCGCCGUUGUUCGGCGCUUAGCUCGGAAUCAACCGCGAUCUGAAUCGCUGCGAGUACGACUCCUUCAUCCGCGUUCUUGUAACGCUUCCGUUUCGCGAUCUUCAUGGGUAUGAAGAUACACUCCCCUCUCUCUCGUUGCUAGUAUCUCCAUAGAUUGAUCUUGGUGAUGUGUAGAAUUUUUUUAAUUUCUGCAACGAUCCCCAACAGUGGCAUCAUGAGCUAGGUCUAUGCGUAGUUUCUAUGCACGAGUAGAACACAAGUUGUUGUGGGUGUUGAUUUGGUCAAUUUACUUGCCGUUACUAGUCUUAUCUUGAUUCGGCGGCAUCGUGGGAUGGAGCGGCCCGGACCAACCUUACACGUAUGCUUACGUGAGACAGGUUCCACCGACUGACAUGCACUAGUUGCAUAAGGUGGCUAGCGGGUGUUUGUCUCUCCCACUUCAGUCGGAUUGGAUUCGAUGAAAAGGGUCCUUAUGAAGGGUAAAUAGAAAUUGGCAUAUCACGUUGUGGUUUUGCGUAGGUAAGAAACGUUCUUGCUAGAAGCAGCCACGUAAAAACAUGCAACAACAAUUAGAGGACGUCUAACUUGUUUUUGUAGGGUAUGCUAUGUGAUGUGAUAUGGCCAAAAGAAUGUGAUGAAUGAUAUAUGUGAUGUAUGAGAUUGAUCAUGUUCUUGUAAUAGGAAUCAUGACUUGCAUGUCGAUGAGUAUGACAACUGGCAGGAGCCAUAGGAGUUGUCUAAAUUAUUUUAUGACCUGUGUGUCACUGAAAACGCCUUGUAAUUACUUUACUUUAUUGCUAACCUUUAGCCAUAGUAGUAGAAGUAAUAGUUGGCGAGACAACUUCAUGAAGACACAAUGAUGGAGAUCAUGAUGAUGGAGAUCAUGGUGUCAUGCUGGUGACGAUGAUGAUCAUGGCGCCCAAAGAUGGAGAUCAAAAGGAGCAAAAUGAUAUUGGCCAUAUCAUGUCACUAUUUGAUUGGAUGUGAUGUUUAUCAUGUUUUACAUCUUAUUUGCUUAGAACGACGGUAGCAUAAAUAAGAUGAUCCCUCACAAUAAUUUCAAGAAAGUGUUCCCCCUAACUGUGCACCAUUGCUAAGGUCCGUUGUUCCGAAGCACCACGUGAUGAUUGGGUGUGAUAGGUUCUAACGUUCACAUACAACGGGUGUAAGCCAGAUUUACACACGCAAUACACUUAGGUUGACUUGACGGGCCUAGCAUGUACAGACAUGGCCUCGGAACACGGAAGACCGAAAGGUCAAACAUGAGCCGUAUAGAAGAUACGAUCAACAUGAAGAUCUUCACCGAUGAUGACUAGUCCGUCUCACGUGAUGAUCGUACAUGGCCUAGUUAACUCGGAUCAUGUAUCACAUAGAUGACUAGAGGGAUGUCAAUCUGAGUGGGAGUUCAAUAAAUAAUUUGAUUAGAUGAACUUACUUAUCAUGAAGAUAGUCUAAAACUUCGCAAUAUGUCUUGUAGAUCAAAUGGCCCAUGCUAAUGUUGCCCUCAACUUCAAUGCGUUCCUAGAGAAAACCAAGCUGAAAGACGAUGGCAGCAACUACACGGACUGGGUCCGUAACCUGAGGAUUAUCCUCAUAGGUGCCAAGAAAGCAUAUGUCCUUGAAGCACCGCUAGGUGAAGCACCUGUUUUCCCAGCAACUCAAGACGUUAUGAACGCCUGGCAGUCGCGUAGUGAUGAUUACUCCCUGGUUCAAUGCGGCAUGCUUUAUAGUUUAGAACCGGGGCUCCAAAAGUGUUUUGAGCAGCACGGAGCAUAUGAGAUGUUCAAAGAGCUGAAAAUGGUUCUCCAAGCUCAUGCCUUUGUCGAGAGAUAUGAAGUCUCCGACAAGUUCUAUAGUUGUAAGAUGGAGGAGAAUAGUUUUGUCAGCGAGUACAUACUCAAAAUGUCUGGGUUGCACAACUGCUUGUCUCAGCUGGGAGUUAAUCUCCCGGAUGACGCGGUCGUUGACAGGAUCCUUCAGUCGCUCCCACGUAGCUACAAGAGCUUUGUGAUGAAUUUUUCAAUAUGCAGGCGAUGGAGAAAACCAUCCCUGAGGUAUAUUCAAUGCUGAAAUCAGCGGAGGUGGAGAUCAAAAAGGAAAAUCAAGUGUUGAUGGUCAAUAAAACCACUAGUUUCAAGAAAGGCAAGGGUAAUAAGAACUUCAAGAAGGAUGGCAAGGGAGUUGCCGCGCCUGGUAAGCAAGCUACCGGGAAGAAGCCAAAGCAUGGACCCAAGCCUGAGACUGAGUGCCUUUAUUGCAAGGGAAACAGUCACUAGAAGCGGAACUGCCCCAAGUACUUAGCGGAUAAGAAGGCCGACAAUACCAAAGGUAUAUAUGAUAUACAUGUUAUUGAUGUGUACCUUACCAGCACUCGUAGUAGCUCCUGGGUAUUUGAUACCUGUGCGGUUGCUCAUAUUUGUAACUCAAAACAGGAGCUGCAGAAUAAGCGGAGACUGGCGAAGGACGAGGUGACGAUGCGUGUCGGGAAUGGUUCCAAGGCCGAUGUGAUCACCGUCGGCACGCUGCCUCUACAUUUACCUAUGGGAUUAGUUUUAAACCUCAAAAAUUGUUAUUUAGUGCCAGCUUUGAGCAUGAACAUUGUAUCUGGAUCUCGAUUAAUGCGAGAUGCCUACUCAUUUAAAUCCGAGAAUAAUGGUUGUUCCAUUUAUAUGAGAGAUAUGUUUUAUGGUCAUGCCCCGCUGGUCAAUGGUUUAUUCUUGUUUAAUCUCGAACAUGAUGUUACACAUGUUCGUAGUGUGAAUACCAAGAAGUGUAAGGUUGAUAAUGAUAGUCCCACAUACUUGUGGCACUGCCGCCUUGGUCACAUUGGUGUCAAACGCAUGAAGAAACUCCAUGCAGAUGGACUUUUGGAGUCUCUUGAUUAUGAAUCAUUUGACACGUGCGAGCCAUGCCUCAUGGGAAAAAUGACCAAGACUCCGUUCUCCGGAACAACGGAGCAAGCAACCAACUUAUUGGAAAUCAUACAUACCGAUGUGUGCGGUCCAAUGAGCAUUGAGGCUCGCGGUGGCUAUCGUUAUGUUCUCACCCUCACUGAUGACUUGAGUAGAUAUGGGUAUGUCUACUUAAUGAAACACAAGUCUGAGACCUUUGAAAAGUUCAAGGAAUUUCAGAAUGAGGUUGAGAAUCAACGUGACAGGAAAAUAAAGUUCUUACGAUCAGAUCGUGGGGGAGAUUAUUUGAGUCACGAAUUUGGCACACACUUAAGGAAAUGUGGAAUUGUUCCACAACUCACGGUGCCUGUUACACCUAAGCGUAAUGGUGUGUCCGAACGUCGUAAUCGCACUGUAUUAGAUAUGGCGCGAUCUAUGAUGUCUCUUACCAAUCUACCGCUAUCAUUUUGGGGUUAUGCUUUAGAGACUGCCGCAUUCACUUUAUAUAGUGCUCCGUCGAAAUCCGUUGAGACUACACCAUAUGAAUUAUGGUUUGGAAAGAAACCUAAGUUGUCGUUUCUGGAAGUUUGGGGAUGCGAUGCUUAUGUCAAGAAACUUCAACCUAAAAAGCUCGAACCCAAGUCGGAAAAAUGCGUAUUCAUAGGAUACCCUAAGGAAACUCUUGGGUAUACCUUCUACCUCAGAUCCGAAGGCAAGAUCUUUGUUGCCAAGAAUGGAUCCUUUCUAGAGAAAGAGUUUCUCACGAAAGAAGUAAGUGGGAGGAAAGUAGAACUUGAUGAAGUACUGCCUCUUGAACCGGAAAAUAGCGCAGCUCAAGAAAAUGUUUCUGUGGUGCCUGCACCGACUAGAGAGGAAGUCAAUGAUGAUGAUCAAGGAACUUCGGAUCAAGUUACUACUGAACUUCGUAGGUCCACAAGGAUAUGUUCCACACCAGAAUGGUAUGACAACUCUGUCCUAGAAAUAAUGUUGUUAGACAACGGUGAACCUUCGAACUAUGAAGAAGCGAUGGCGGGCCCGGAUUCCAACAAAUGGGUUGAAGCCAUGAAAUCCGAGAUAGGAUCCAUGUAUGAAAACAAAGUAUGGACUUUGACAGACUUGCCCGAUGAUCGGCGAGCCAUAGAAAAUAAAUGGAUCUUUAAGAAGAAGACGGACACGGAUGGCAAUGUGACUAUCUAUAAAGCUCGGCUUGUUGCUAAGGGUUAUCGACAAGUUCAAGGGGUUGACUACGAUGAGACCUUCUCACCCGUAGCGAAGCUGAAGUCCGUCAGAAUCAUGUUAGCAAUUGCCGCAUUCUAUGAUUAUGAGAUAUGGCAAAUGGACAUCAAAACGACAUUCCUUAAUGGUUUCCUUAAGGAAGAAUUGUAUAUGAUGCAACCAGAAGGUUUUGUCGAUCCUAAGAAUGCUGACAAGGUAUGCAAGCUCUAGCGCUCAAUCUAUGGGCUGGUGCAAGCAUCUCGGAGUUGGAACAUUCACUUUGAUGAGAUGAUCAAAGCGUUUAGGUUUAUGCAGAUUUAUGGAGAAGCCCGUGUUUACAAGAAAGUGAGUGGGAGCUCUAUAGCAUUUCUCAUAUUAUAUGUGGAUGACAUACUAUUGAUGGGAAAUGAUAUAGAACUCUUGGAAAGCAUAAAGGCCUACUUGAAUAAGUGUUUUUCAAUGAAGGACCUUGGAGAAGCUGCUUAUAUAUUAGGCAUCAAGAUCUAUAGAGAUAGAUCGAGAUGCCUCAUUGGUCUUUCACAAAGCACGUACCUUGACAAGAUAUUGAAGAAGUUCAAUAUGGAUCAGUCCAAGAAGGGGUUCUUGCCUGUAUUGCAAGGUGUGAGAUUGAGCACGGCUCAAUGCCCAACCACGGCAGAAGAUAGAGAAAAGAUGAGUGUCAUCCCCUAUGCCUCGGCCAUAGGGUCUAUUAUGUAUGCCAUGCUGUGUACUAGACCUGAUGUAAACCUUGCCGUAAGUUUGGUAGGAAGGUACCAAAGUAAUCUCGGCAUGGAACACUGGACAACGGUCAAGAAUAUCCCGAAGUACCUGAAAAGGACUAAGGAUAUGUUUCUCAUUUAUGGAGGUGACGAAGAUCUUGCCGUAAAGUGUUACGUCGAUGCUAGCUUCGACACAGAUCUGGAUGACUCCAAGUCACAAACCGGAUAUGUGUAUAUUUUGCAUGGUGGGGCAGUCAGCUGGUGUAGUUGCAAGCAAAGCGUCGUGGCGGGAUCUACAUGUGAAGCGGAGUACAUGGCAGCCUCGGAGGCAGCACAUGAAGCAAUCUGGAUGAAGGAGUUCAUUACCGACCUAGGAGUUAUUCCCAAUGCGUCAGGCCCGAUGGGUCUCUUCUGUGACAACACUGGAGCUAUUGCCCUGGCCAAGGAGCCCAGGUUUCACAAGAAGACCAGGCAUAUCAAGCGUCGCUUCAACUCCAUUCGUGAAAAUGUUCAAGAUGGAGACAUAGAUAUUUGUAAAGUGCAUACGGACCUGAAUGUCGCAGAUCUGUUGACUAAACCUCUUACACGAGCAAAACAUGAUCAACACCAGAACUCUAUGGGUGUUCGAUUCAUCAUAAUGUAACUAGAUUAUUGACUCUAGUGCAAGUGGGAGACUGUUGGAAAUAUGCCCUAGAGGCAAUAAUAAAAUGGUUAUUAUUAUAUUUCCUUGUUCAUGAUAAUUGUCUAUUGUUCAUGCUAUAAUUGUGUUAUCCGGAAAUCAUAAUACAUGUGUGAAUACAUAGACCACAACAUGUCCCUAGUGAGCCUCUAGUUGACUAGCUCGUUGAUCAAUAGAUGGUUACUGUUUCCUGACCAUGGACAUUGGAUGUCGUUGAUAAUGGGAUCACAUCAUUGGGAGAAUGAUGUGAUGGACAAGACCCAAUCCUAAGCAUAACACAAGAUCGUGUAGUUCAUAUGCUAAAGCUUUUCUAAUGUAAAGUAUCAUUUCCUUAGACCAUGAGAUUGUGCAACUCCCGGAUACCAUAGGAAUGCUUUGGGUGUGCCAAACUUCACAACGUAACUGGGUGGCUAUAAAGGCACACUACGGGUAUCUCCGAAAGUGUUUGUUGAGUUGGCACGAAUCGAGACUGGGAUUUGUCACUCCGUGUGAUGGAGAGGUAUCUCUGGGCCCACUCGGUAAGAUAUCAUCAAAAUGAGCUCAAUGUGAUCAAGAAGUUGAUCACGGGAUGAUGUGUUAUGGAACGAGUAAAGAGACUUGCUGGUAAUGAGAUUGAACAAGGUAUAGGGAUACUGACGAUCGAAUCCCGGGCAAGUAUCAUACCAGUCGACAAAGGGAAUUAUAUACAGGAUUGAUCGAAUCCCCGACAUCAUGCUUCAUCCGAUGAGAUCAUCGUGGAACGUGUGGGAGCCAACAUGGGUAUCCAGAUCCCGAUGUUGGUUAUUGGCCAUAGAGAUGUCUCGGUCAUGUCUGCAUGAUUCCUGAACCCGUAGGGUCUAUACACUUAAGGUUCAGUGAUGGUAGAGUUGUUAUGGGAAAUAGUAUGCAAUUACCGAAUGUUGUCCGGAGUCCUGGACGUCACGAGGAGUUCCGUAAUGGUCCGGAGGUGAAGAUUUAUAUGUGGGAAGUCAUCAUACGGUCACCGGAAGUGUUUGGGUGUUUAUCGGUAUUAUACCGGGACCACCGAAGGGGUUCCGGGGGUCCACCGGGAGGGUCCACCUGCCCUGGAGGGCCCUAUGGGCUGUAUGUGGAAGGGAACCAGCGCCUAAGUGGGCUUGGCGCCACCCCCCCUUAAGGCCCAUGCGCCUAGGGUUUGGGGGGAACCCUAAAAGGGCGCCCCCCUUGGCUUGGGGGGCAAGCCCCCUCCCCUUGGCCGCCGCCUCCUCUAGAUCUCAUCUAGAGGGAUCAGCCCCCUUCCCCCUUCACCCUAUAAAUAGUGGGGUGGAGGGAGGGCAGCAAAACCACUUCCAAGGCGCAGCCCUCCCUCUCCCAACACCUCCUCCUUCGUUCAGCUUGGCAAAGCCUUGCCGGAGAACUGCGAGCUCCACCACAACGCCAUCGUGCUGCCGGAGUUCUACCCCAAAUUCUCCUUCCCCCUUGCUGGAUCAAGAAGGAGGAGACGUCCCUGGGCUGUACGUGUGUUGAAUGCGGAGGCGUCGUUAUUCGGCGCUUAGAUCGGAAUCAACCGCGAUCUGAAUCGCUGCGAGGACGACUCCUUCAUCCGCGUUCUUGUAACGCUUUCGUUUCACGAUCUUCAUGGGUAUGAAGAUACACCCCCUCUCUCUCGUUGCUAGUCUCUCCAUAGAUUGAUCUUGGUGAUGCAUAGAAUUUUUUUAGUUUCUGCAACGAUCCCCAACAUCCCUUACUAAAAUUUGAAGGUAUAAGUGUUCUCCCUGAGUAUGCACCGUUGUGACAGUUCUUCGUGCUGAGACACCACUUGAUGAUCGGGUGUGAUAAGCUCUACGUUCACAUACAACGGGUGCAAGCCAGUUUUGCACAUGCAGAAUACUCUGGUUAAACUUGACGUGCCUAGCAUAUGCAGAUAUGGCCUCAGAACACUGAGACUGAAAGGUCAAACGUGAAUCAUAUAGUAGAUGUUAUCAACAUAGUGAUGUUCACCAUUGGAAACUACUCCAUCUCACGUGAUGAUCGGACAUGGUUUAGUUGAUUUUGAUCACGUGAUCAUUUAGAUGACUAGAGGGAUGUCUAUCCAAGUGGGAGUUCGUAAGUAAUAUGAUUAAUUGAACUUUAAUUUAUCAUGAACUUAGUCCUGAUAGUAUUUGCAUAUCUAUGUUGUAGAUCAAUUGCUCGUGUAUAGCUUCCCCGUUUAUUUUUGAUAUGUUCCUAGAGAAAACUAAGUUGAAAGAUGAUAGUAGCAAUGAUGCGGACUAGGUCCGUGAUUUGAGGAUUAUCCUCAUUGCUGCACAGAAGAAUUAUGUCCUUGAUGCAUAGCUAGGUGACAGACCUAUUGCAGGAGCAGAUGUUGACAUUAUGAACGUUUGGCAAAGCUCGGUAUGAUGACUACUUGAUAGUUUAGUGCACCAUGCUUUACGGCUUAGAACCAUGUAACACCCACGAUGCGACUAUAUCUCCCACGUGUCGGGGCACAACUUAGAGGCAUAGCCGCAUGGUAGGUUUGUCGCAAGAGGGGUAAUCUGCACACAAUCCCAUCUACUAAAUGAGAAAGGGAUAAAGAGUUGGCUUACAAUCGCCACUUCACGCAAAUACAAGUUAAACAUACAUCAUCCAGAAUACAAUCAAAGGUCCGACUACGGAACCAAAAUAAAAGAAGACAACCCCAAAUGCUAGAUCCCCGAUUAUCCCAACUGGGCUCCACUAUUGAUCGACAGGAAAUGAAACAACACAACGGACAAGAUCUUCAAUGAGGUCCCACUUGAGCUCGGUUGCAUCAUCUGCACUGGUAUCGUCGGCACCUGCAACUAUUUGGAAGUAUCUGUGAGCCACAAGGACUCAGCAGUCUCACACCCAUGAGAUCAAGACUAAUUAAGCUUAUGGGUAGGAAAGGGGUGAUGAGGUGGAGCUGUAGCAAGCUCUAAGAAAAAAUGUAGGCUAACAUACACAAAUGAGAGCGAGAAGAGAAGCAACACAGCGGUCGUGAACUAGAAGUGAUCAAGAAGUGAUCCUGAAACUACUUAUGUUCAAGUAUAACACAAGAACCGUGUUCACUUACCGGACUCUGUUGAAAAGAGACCAUCACAGCUACACACGCGGUUGAUGCAUUUUAAUUAAGUUAAGUGUCAAGUUCUCUACAACCGGAUAUUAACAAAUUCCCAUCUGCCCAUAACCGCGGGCACGACUUUCGAAAGUUCAAACCCUGCAGGGGUGUCCCAACUUAGCCCAUCACAAGCUCUCACGGUCAACAAAGGAUAUUCCUUCUCCUGAGAAGACCCGAUCAGUCUCGGAAUCCCAGUUACAAGACAUUCCGACAAUGGUAAAACAAGACCAGCAAGACCGCCCGAUGCGCCGACAUCCCGAUAGGAGCUGCAGAUAUCUCGUUCUCAGGGCAACACCGGAUAAGCUAAGUGUACAUGUACCAACAUAUCCAAAGUUGCCAAGGGACAGUCCCGCACNNNNNNNNNNNNNNNNNNNNNNNNNNNNNNNNNNNNNNNNNNNNNNNNNNNNNNNNNNNNNNNNNNNNNNNNNNNNNNNNNNNNNNNNNNNNNNNNNNNNNNNNNNNNNNNNNNNNNNNNNNNNNNNNNNNNNNNNNNNNNNNNNNNNNNNNNNNNNNNNNNNNNNNNNNNNNNNNNNNNNNNNNNNNNNNNNNNNNNNNNNNNNNNNNNNNNNNNNNNNNNNNNNNNNNNNNNNNNNNNNNNNNNAAUAAGAUGACCCUCGGGUUAAUUACUCCCAAGGGAAAGGUAUAGGUUGUUAGGCAAAUGUAAAACCAAGGUUGGGCCUUGCUGGAGGAGUUUUAUUCAAAGUGAACUGUCAAGGGGUUCCCAUAAACACCCAACCGCGUAAGGAACGCAAAAUCAAGGAACAUAACACCGGUAUGACGGAAACUAGGGUGGCAAGAGUGGAACAAAACACCAGGCAUAAGGCCGAGCCUUCCACCCUUUACCAAGUAUAUAGAUGCAUUAAAGUAAAUACGAUAUAAUAAUGAUAUCCCAACAAUAUCCAUGUUCCAACAAGGAACAAACUUCAUCUUCACUUGCAACUAGCAAUGCUAUAAGAGGGGCUGAGCAAAAGCGGUAACAUAGCCAAACAACGGUUUGCUAGGUAAGGUGGGUUAGAGGCUUGUCAAGGCAAUAUGGGAGGCAUGAUAUAGCAAGUGGUAGGUAUCGCGGCAUAGCAAUAGAGCGAACAACUAGCAAGCAAAGAUAGAAGUGAUUUCGAGGGUAUGGUCAUCUUGCCUGAAAUCCUGCAAGGAAGAAGAAUGAGUUCAUGAAGAAGACAAACGGACAUAGUCGAACGAACCUCACAACUCCUGAACGGAACCGAAGCUAAUGAGAGAAGGAACCCGGAAAGAAGCAAACAACAUGGUAAAUAACCAUCACAUAAACAUGGCAUGAUGCACAACCAAGUAUGAUGCAUGUCCGGUUUAAUGAGGCAUGGCAUGGCAAAGUGCACAAACAAUACUACAAAUUGAGUGGAUCUCAAUAUGCAACGAGUUGCAUAUUGACGGAACACCACAUUAAAGUUAUUUAGUUCGAUCUCGUUUAUGUACCCAACAAUAUUAAAUGUUGAUUAACAUGGCAAGAGGUGAAGCAUAAUUAAAUUAACUAUCUAGUCAAGUUUAAAUGAGGCCGGAAACAACAAACAACAAUUCUAGAAAACCCUCAUGUGCAAAUUAUGGAUUUGGUACUAUUCUGCCCUAAACCAUAUUUUUAUUGUUGUUAAACAUGCAAAGUAAGUACAUCAUGUUAAUCUAUGCAAUUUUUCUACCUCAUUUACAUAUAAAGAUUAUUAAAUUUGGAGCUAUAGUUAUUUAGAUAUGAAAUAAAGCAUUUUAGCAUGGCAAUAUGCAAAAUAAACAAAAACAACAUUUUAAACAUUUUUUAUCAUGGUUGAAAGUUGCAUAUUAUGAAACUAGAUGAAUUUCUAAGCAUUUUUCAUAUCAAGUUUGUUUAAUUCUGAUGCACGGUUUGUGAGAUAUGAUAUGCAUGAAGUUUAGGGGCUAUACUGUAAAACUAUUUUACUAGAUUAAAUAGCAAAAUCCCAGGCGCUGGAAAAAAACAUACGCGGGCCGGAACUGGAACAGGAGCACGGGCGCGGAAUAUAAUGUUGCGCCCAGUGCGUUGGAUAGGGGGGGCAGCUCACCAGGGGCCCAGAGGCCGACUCUGGAACUGGGCCAAGCAGGAGGCCGCAGCUGGGCUUUGGGAGAGGGGCGCGCUGUGCCGACGGGGAAGCAGCGCGGCCCACCGGACCUGACCGAAGCGGUCAACGCGGUUGCAAGCUCUCCUCGACUCGUUCCCGCAUCAAGGAUCGAGUAGAAGCUCGAUGCGGACGGCGGCGGCGAAGAGCUCGCUGGAUCCACCUGGUCCGGGCGAGGCAGCGGCAGGGGAGGCCGGAAACAGACAGGAAGACGGCGGCGACACCCAGAUCCGGCGACCAUGGGGGACCUUGAACAUGGUGGCAGAGAGAGAGAGAGAGAGAGGUUAGCGGGAGGAGGAGAAAGAGACGGAAUGGGAAGGAGCAGGGCGGUGGGGUUCUGGCCUGGUCGGCUUGUCCGACGACAGCGCUCACCGGCGACGAGGUAAGGAGGAGGAGGAGGUUCGGCCGGCGCGGGGAUGCCCCAGAUCGAGCGAGAGGAGCUCAGGAGGCUCUCCCGAUCCUGAACGAGCAGAGCGCUUGGGAGCGGUAGCGGUUCGGGCCAGGCGGGAUGCGCCCGGGCCUGGCAGGCCUGCGGUGGGGGAAGCCGGUUGGGGAGGCGAGGUGGUGGCGUGGGAGUGGUUGGCAGGUGUAGGGUGGCGACGUGGCGUGCCCGGAUUGGUCCGGGGCGCGGGAGCGGCGGUGCCAAGUGGCAGGGAGCGGCUGGGCGGCGCCGGAAAUCAAGGAGGAGGGGGUUGGCUGCGGCUGGAGGCGGCGAAUCUGGGGAGAAAGGGGUCUAGGGGUAGGGGAAGAGCUAGGUUUGACCAAAAAUGGACUAGGGGCUGUUUAUAUAGGGUAGGUGGCUAGGGUUAGGAGGUUAGGAGGGGUUUUUGGACCCUCUGAUCGCGAUCCGAUGGCUCCGCUCGGAGGGGGGGGGGUUGGUGGGCUAUGAAGAGGAGGUUUGGGCUGAGAUGAGAGGGAAUGAGUGCAGCCCGACAACUGUUUCCGGAGACCGAAAACGUCCGACGAUAGACCGAUUAUACUACCGCUAUAGUUAACCGUUGGGGCAUCAAACGGACUCCGAAUGCGAUGAAACUUGGCACGCGACCUACUAACAACAAAACAACACAGCACGCCAACUUUCUUCCCAUUCCGGGAACAUUUUCCAGCCACCUAUAAAAUAAUAUUUCGGACGUGCCGCGGGCGCAUGCAAGUGUGUCUGGGCUCAGAACGAACAACGGAAAGAACUGGGGGACCCGGACAGAUGCAAGUUUUGAAAACAUGAUGAUGCAAUGCACAUGAUGCAAAGAUGAAUGCAAUGAGCCAAACAAAACACACAACGAAACUCGGAAAAACAUGGAAGGCAUCUGAAGCUCCGGUCUUGGGGCGUUACAACACUCCACCACUACAAGAGGAUCUCGUCCCGAGAUCUAGGAUGGCACCGGGGAAAAUGGAAGAGCAAGGGGAAGAGGUAAAACUAAGUUGCUUUUUUGACAAAUGAGUGAAAUCGAAGAACCUUGAGAGGUUGAACAAAUCGAAAGAAAGAAUACAACAAAGAUGAACAAAGUUGAAAACACUCCGUUAGAAAAGAGGAACAAGGAACCGUACUAGAACCUUGUAGGUUGAAAGACAUAAGAAAAGGGGUUGCAAUGGGCAAGAAGUACAUGAAAGCACUCCGGUCAAAAUGAGAAGUACAAGGAACGAUAAGGAUCCAUUACGACAACACUCCGGUUGGGAAAGGAAGGUAAAGAAUAUGAGGUUGGCAAAAAGAAAGCACUUGGAUGAGACUCCGGUUAGAAGAGGAAUGAUAGACACGAUACUCCGGUUAAAGAAGAUAGAGAAAGAAUAAGAAUGAUAUAAUUUGGAUAGCACUCUGACUGUAAAUGGAAGGAAUUGAACAUGAACUUGACAAGAUGAGAGUAUGCUUGAUGAAAUGAACAACAUACUGCCUCCGUAACUAUUGAAAGAAUGGCACAAGUGGUAAGAAAGAUUUCAGACGGCACUCCGAUUGUGAAGGGAGGCAAAACUUGACAAAAUGGGAAGAACUUGAAAAGAGGGGAUUACACUCCGGUUGAAUGGAUAAGCAAAGGAAAGAACAUGAUCUUUGACAAAAAUGAGAUGAUGGGUUGAAUAGAACAACAUCACAAAGCAUCCGGAAAAAUAAAAGAAUGGAAUUAAAGGAACAGAGAAGAACACAACAUCUUCUACCUUAAAUGAGCUUGAAAAAGCAUCUUUAGGAGAAGGGUCGAACGGAGUUGUUGGAAAACAGACAACGAAAACAAAGAAAACUUGUGGUGGGCUUAAGGAAAAACUUCUCAAAAUUAUGAGGUGAAAUUCUGCCACUAAUGAAAACAAUUGCUUGCUUGGGAGCAACGAAGAGAUGAAAACUUCUUUCAUCGCGAGAAUAGGAAGAAACUUGGAUUAUUGAUAAGCACCACAAUAGCAACAUUCCUUAGGGAAGGCUUUAGGUGAAAUAUAACCCAAGAUAACUCCAACGAAGAGAUUAAUUGGUUGAAAGGUCUCUUGAACGAAGAGAAAAUGAUGGAUUUAGAAUAUGUCCUUCUUGACAUUUGAGAAUCGUGAAACAACGAAGGGAAAUUGUCAAGAAUGACAUAACACCACCUCAAAAGAUGAUAUAUGAAAGAAUUGCACUUCGGAAUGCAAGAUGAAUAAUGCUUGAACUCCUGAAAACGACAUGUGUUGAACACCAUGUUUAUUUGAGAGUAUAGCUUGGCGGAUCUUAACUUCGAGAGAAAAUCUUGAGGACAAUUGCAUAAUGAAAGGAAUCCUUGACGAACCACCAUGUAGAGCCUCCAUGAAGAACUCCGGUAAUAAAAAGAUGAUAAAAAGAAAGAGAAGUCGAAAACACAAGGUGAAUCCUUACAAUGAUUUAGAUGGAGCUUCACAAUGACAUAACCGAGAAAACUUGGGAGUCCGGAAAGAAAGAUGAACAACUGAAAACAAGAAUUUUGAUGAACCUCCGGAAUAAGGAAUUGAAUCAUUUGGAUGAAACAAGAAUAAUAAUUACAUUAUGCUCAUCCUUCACCAAUUUAGAUUGAUGACAAGCAACAGAUUUGGCAUACUACUUCUUCUCAUUGAAAAGGAUUAAGAUAGAUAUUGUGCAAACUUGAGAAUGUCUUUGACGAACCACCGGAAGGAUUGAAACAAUGAAUAAUUUGAUAUGAAAACCAAGGAAGAGAAAUCUUGAACAAACCACCGUAAGAAUUGAAAAUGAACGUAGCAAAGGCACAAUUCACUAGGAAAAUUGGAAAACGAAUGAAGAUACUUGAAGGAAUUUAGAUACAUGAGAACGAAUAGAUCACGAGCUGAUUAAAGAAUAUUUGAAUGAUGCACCGGUAAGAUUUGGAGAACGAGAGAUGAAAGCUGGAAUGAAUAAUUCUGAGAUGAUGGGCUCCGGAGAAUCAAACUGAAAAGACUCCUGAAUUGCUCCGGAUUUGUGAAAAGAAUUCUCACAAUCGGAAAUAAUUAUGAGAUGAUGACAUCAUGCUAGAACCAUGAUUCUUGAAGAGAAUGGAGCAAGAUUUAAGAGAAACUCUUCUUCGGUCUUCACGAACGCGAGAAUGACGACCAGAAACACCACCAUGAUUUGUUGAGGCACUCCUGAAUGAAAAUUAGAAAGGUUGAACCAACAACGAAAAGAAUUUGAUAGAUCUUGGAGAAAGACAUUUGACUGAUGACAAAUCAUUCUUACGUCAAACUUUGAAAUGAAUUUGAGAAUAAUUCCGAGAAAAUUAGAACAGUCAGGUAAGAUCCUGGGAAAAGACCUGUGGGUUAGGACCCACUCAAAAGACACACCAUUGGAAAUGAUUUUGAAGGAGAGAUUGCACCGGUUGAAUUAAAUGGCCUGAAAGAGAUAACAACCUCGAAAGAGCUUGAACGAAUGCAGAGUGGAAACACGAAUCUUCGAGAUAUCUUCAGCACUCCGGAAUAAUUGAAUAGCGAGAAGUGGAAUCAUAAUGAGGUGCACCGGCAUGAGAAAGCAUUUGAAACGAGGAAAAGAUACGAUCGACAAAGCUUGAAUUUAAUCCACCAAAGAAGAAAACGAGUGAAGAGUGACGAACUUGAGGCUUCCUUAGUAUCUUCAUGAGAAUCACCGGAUAAGAACAUUGACUGAAAAGAGUGAAGAGACUUCACAUGAAUAAAAUGGAUACUUGAUUAAGAAAUCUGAAUCCUUGAAGAAAAAGGGUGGGAGGGCGGGAAAAACAAAGAAACUUGGGAUGAAUGAAACAAACACCGUUGAGAAUACUUAGAGUUGAUCUUGCGAAUGUUGAAAAUGAUCGGAUCCACUUGAAGAGAAACACGCUGGUUGAAAAAGAAUUAAGAUGACAACGUCGAUGAUCAAGAAGGAUUGGUAUUCACAUAGAAGUAUGAGAACAACAUUUAGAAAAGUUAUGGAAUCAACACUUGACUUUGAAGCAACUCGAAUACCAUAACUGAAAACAAAACAAAGGAUUGGCUUGCAGAAUAAGCCAGAAACAAACAUAUGAUAGAUCCCAUAUCGUAUCAUGUGUCUGUUGGAAAGAAUUCAUACGAGCUACUUGAAUUCCCACUUAUAAACUCCCGAAACUUUCUGGUUAUGCAAUCAGGUGCUGGGGAUACAUGGGAAGCAUAAUAUCUCACCCAAACUAACAAUACCUACAUCCAGCUGUAUCCAUCCUUCAACACAUAACCAAGAAACAUUCGGAAAUCAUUUACCUCAACCUUCGAAAAACAUCCAGUAUAUGAGUUAUGGCAAUACUCCUGAACUCCCGCCCUAGUACUGGGUGGCGUCGAGGUUAUCUCACCAACAACUGCAUAAAAGAGAUUUUCGAUGUCGGCGAACUCAGGUAUUCCAGAACUGCAAUGAUAAAAUUGUGACGACAACACCUCGGAGUUCAACUCCCCGGGACACUGCCACAACCCCUAAAUGUCAGGAGGCACCAAGAACAAUGUUCUCGUCACAAAACCAUCGGAACGGUUCCAAGAUACCCGCAUGAUCCUAAAUUCUUUUUAGUGAAAUUUGAGGAGAGAAGAGUCAAACUCUACAUUAGGAGGCCUCACCAGAGAAACGAAGGGACCGAGGGGUAAAAAUAAUCCUACUCUCCGAUAUAUAUAUUCCUAAGACUCAAAACAUUUUGUUCUAGACUCAACAGCAUCAGCGAUUCAAUCAAGCAGGGGGCUCCUAAGUCGGGGAUGGCUCUGAUUACCAACUUGCACUACAAAAAAAAA